UACGGAGGGGGCUAGCGUUGUUCGGAAUUACUGGGCGUAAAGCGCACGUAGGCGGACUGAUCAGUCAGGGGUGAAAUCCCGGGGCUCAACCCCGGAACUGCCUUUGAUACUGUCAGUCUGGAGGUCGAGAGAGGUGAGUGGAAUUCCGAGUGUAGAGGUGAAAUUCGUAGAUAUCAGGAGGAACACCAAUGGCGAAGGCAGCUCGCUGGGACGUGACUGACGCUGAGACGCGAAAGCGUGGGGGAGCAAACAGG
rnacentral:rRNA from 1 species